rnacentral:lncRNA from 1 species
UUUUUUUUUUUGAUUAAUGCCCCAGUUGGCUGUUCUGCUGAUUCUCGAGAUGCAGCUGAGUGAUCUUCUUUUCUUGCUCAAGAAGUCGGGAAAUCUCGUCAGGAAUCCCUUCAACAUCAUCUUCUUCCGCUUCGAAUACAGGGAAUUCAGAAUUGGGAGAUAGCGUUGGAUCAUUAUGUUCAAUGGGUUUAAGAAAUAACCUGCAUAAU